GGAAUCUGUGACUGCCUUGACUAAUAGAGCACAGCCAAAGCGAGGCUAUGCCAGUUCCCAGCACGGCUCUGACCUAAACUGGAAGUGUCUGUCUCUUACUUCAUGGAGCAUUCACUCUUGGAACUGUUGUGCUUAGAACCCAGCCACCAUGCUAUGAGCCAAGUGAAGCUCACAAUAGUUAAGAAAUGAGCCCACUGCAAAGAGCAAAAGGCAAAGUCUAAACUUGAACUUGAAUGAUCUUGCUCCUCUGAUCGUACAGCUACACUCUUCUCCUGCUGUCUCCUGAAAGUCAUCAUCAAAUUGGAAGCACAGUAAUGGGCCACUCAUCAGGGAUUUUUGAUUAAUGGAUAUGGAUGUGGAACUGAAGAAUAAAGAUGUCUCAUUGCUUGAAAUUUGGGGAGACCAAAGAGGAAGAAGGACUGGAUACAUGAAGGGAAAAUAAUAUGGCAAUUAAAAGUUAAAGUUAAGUCACACUUCUUUCCUUAUCUUAUUAUGUGGCCUUUAGAAAGUCACAGAAACUCUUAAGAGUCUUAGUGUCCCCAUUUAUGAAACAGUGAUCAUAAUAUUUGCCUCAUAUGGAUUUUUUUGAGGACCAAAAUAAGAUAAUUGAAAGUAAAGUUUUUCAUGGGACAUACACAUGGAAAGGAGCCCACUGUAUGAGAUAAUUGUAUUUAUAUGGGUUUGUCUUAGUGUCCUCUAUUCUGUACCAUUGGUCUACAAGUCUAUUUUGGUGCCAAUACUGUUUUUGUUACUAUAGCUCUCUGUAGUAUAGUUUAAGAUCUGGUAUUGUGAUGCCUCCUGCUUCACUUUUCUUGCUAUGGAUUGCUUUAGCUAUUCUGAUUCUAUGAAGAAUCGUGCUCUUGGUAGUAUGGCCAUUUUGACAAUAUUAAUUCUUCCUAUUCAGGAGCAUGGGAGAUCUUUCCAUUUUCUAAAGUUUUCUUCAAUUUCUUUCUUUAGUGUUCUGUAGUUUUUAUUUAGAGGUCUUUCACCUCUUUUGUUAAAUCGGUUCCAAGGUUUUUUGUUUGGUUUUGUUUUUUUUUUUUUUUUUUGAGGCUUUUGUGAAUGGAGUAGUUUUCCUAAUUUCUCUUUCAGUGGAUUAAAGAUAGCUUAUUUCACAAAUGGUACUGGCAAAACUGGAAAUCCAUAUGUAGCAAGAGGAAAUUAAAACUCUGUCUCUCAUCCUGCACAAAAAUCAACUCAAAGUGGAUCAAAGAUUUAGACACUCAAACAGACCCUGCACCUAAUAGAAGAAAAAAUAGGGCCAAAUCCUCACCACGUCAGACGAGGCUCUGACUUCCUUAACAGGACUCCUAAAGCACAAGAAGUAAAAUCAAGAAUUAAUAAAUGGGAUGGAUUCAAAUUAAAAAGCUUCUUCUCAGCAAAGGAAACAAUUAAUAGCAUGAGGAGAGAGCCUACAGAUUGGGAGAAAAUCUUUACCACAUGCACCUUUGAUAAAGCAUUAAUCUCCAGGAUGUAUAAAGAACUCAAAAAACUUAACACCAACCAACAAACAAGCAAACAAACAAACAAACAAAAAAAACCAAAUAGCCCAAUCAAUAAAAUGGGCUAAGGAACUGAACAGACACCUCACAGAAGAAGAAAUACAAUUACUCUAGCAAUUAGAGAAAUGCAAAUCAAAACUACUCUAAGAUUUCAUCUCACUCCUGUCAGAGUGGCAAUCACCAAGAGUACAGGCAACAAUAAAUGUUGGCAAGGAUAUGGGGAAAAAGGCACACUCAUACAUUGCUGGUGGGACUGCAAAUUGGUGCAACCACUAUGGAAAGCAGUAUGGAGAUUCCUCAGAAAACUUGGAAUGGAACCACCAUUUGAUCCAACUAUCCCACUCCUUGAUUUAUACCCAAAGGACUUAAAGUCAGCAUACUAUAGUGACGCAGUCACAUCAAUGUUUAUAGCAGCUCAAUUCACAAUAACUAGACUAUGGAACCAACCUAAGUACCCUCAAUAGAUGAAUGGAUAAAGAAAUGUGGUCUAUAUACUCAAUGGAAUAUUACUCAGCUUUAAAGAAGAAUAAAAUUAUGGCAUUUGCCAGUAAGUGGUUGGAGUUGGAGAAUAUCAUGCUAAGCGAAAUAGACCUAUCUCACAAAACCAAAGGCUGAAUGUUUUCUCUAAUAUGCAGAUACUAAUUCACAAUAAGGCGGGAGGCACUAGGGAAGAAUAGUGUUAUCUUAGAUUAGGUAGAGAUAAGUGGUGGAAGGGGAGGGGAGGGGAUGUGGGGAUAGGAAAGAUAGUAGAACAAAACAGACAUUAUUACCGAAUGUAUUUAGGCGACUACAUGACCAAUAUGAUUCCACAACAUGUUCACUCAGAAAGAUGAGAAAUCAUAUCCCAUCUAUGUAUGACAUA